rnacentral:rRNA from 1 species
AAGCUUGCUUGUUGGGGUUGUAGGACACUCUAUACGGAGUUACAAAGGACGACAUUAGACGAAUCAUCUGGAAAGAUGAAUCAAAGAAGGUAAUAAUCCUGUAGUCGAAAAUGUUGUCUCUCUUGAGUGGAUCCUGAGUACGACGGAGCACGUGAAAUUCCGUCGGAAUCUGGGAGGACCAUCUCCUAAGGCUAAAUACUCUCUAGUGACCGAUAGUGAACCAGUACCGUGAGGGAAAGGUGAAAAGCACCCCGGAAGGAGAGUGAAAUAGAACCUGAAACCGUGUGCUUACAAGUAGUCAGAGCCCGUUAAUGGGUGAUGGCGUGCCUUUUGUAGAAUGAACCGGCGAGUUACGAUUUGAUGCAAGGUUAAGCAGUAAAUGUGGAGCCGUAGCGAAAGCGAGUCUGAAUAGGGCGUUUAGUAUUUGGUCGUAGACCCGAAACCAGGUGAUCUACCCUUGGUCAGGUUGAAGUUCAGGUAACACUGAAUGGAGGACCGAACCGACUUACGUUGAAAAGUGAGCGGAUGAACUGAGGGUAGCGGAGAAAUUCCAAUCGAACCUGGAGAUAGCUGGUUCUCUCCGAAAUAGCUUUAGGGCUAGCCUCAAGUGAUGAUUAUUGGAGGUAGAGCACUGUUUGGACGAGGGGCCCCUCUCGGGUUACCGAAUUCAGACAAACUCCGAAUGCCAAUUAAUUUAACUUGGGAGUCAGAACAUGGGUGAUAAGGUCCGUGUUCGAAAGGGAAACAGCCCAGACCACCAGCUAAGGUCCCAAAAUAUAUGUUAAGUGGAAAAGGAUGUGGCGUUGCCCAGACAACUAGGAUGUUGGCUUAGAAGCAGCCAUCAUUUAAAGAGUGCGUAAUAGCUCACUAGUCGAGUGACACUGCGCCGAAAAUGUACCGGGGCUAAACAUAUUACCGAAGCUGUGGAUUGUCCUUUGGACAAUGGUAGGAGAGCGUUCUAAGGGCGUUGAAGCAUGAUCGUAAGGACAUGUGGAGCGCUUAGAAGUGAGAAUGCCGGUGUGAGUAGCGAAAGACGGGUGAGAAUCCCGUCCACCGAUUGACUAAGGUUUCCAGAGGAAGGCUCGUCCGCUCUGGGUUAGUCGGGUCCUAAGCUGAGGCCGACAGGCGUAGGCGAUGGAUAACAGGUUGAUAUUCCUGUACCACCUAUAAUCGUUUUAAUCGAUGGGGGGACGCAGUAGGAUAGGCGAAGCGUGCGAUUGGAUUGCACGUCUAAGCAGUAAGGCUGAGUAUUAGGCAAAUCCGGUACUCGUUAAGGCUGAGCUGUGAUGGGGAGAAGACAUUG